rnacentral:rRNA from 1 species
GUCCACGCCCUAAACGAUGAAUACUAGUCGUCAGAGUUCCUAAUUGCUUUGGUGACGUAGCUAACGCAUUAAGUAUUCCGCCUGGGAAUUACGGUCGCAAGAUUAAAACUCAAAGGAAUUGACGGGGCCCGCACAAGCGGUGGAGCAUGUGGUUUAAUUCGAUGCUACGCGAAAAACCUUACCCGGUCUUGAAAUCCCGCGCUACCUAGAGAAAUUUAGGGUUCCCUUCGGGGACGCGGUGACAGGUGCUGCAUGGCUGUCGU